UACGGGAGGCAGCAGUGGGGAAUAUUGGACAAUGGGCGAAAGCCUGAUCCAGCCAUGCCGCAUGAGUGAAGAAGGCCUUAGGGGUUGUAAAGUACUUUCAUCGGGGAGGAAAAAAACAAAAACUAAUAAUUUUAUUUUCUUGACGUUACCCGAAAAAGAAGCACCGGCUAACUCCGUGCCAGCAGCCGCGGUAAUACGGAGGGUGCUAGCGUUAAUCAGAAUUACUGGGCGUAAAGAGCACGUAGGUGGUUUUUUUAAGUUCAGAUGUGAAAUCCCUGGGCUUAACCUAGGAACUGCAUUUUGAAACUGAAAUACUAGAGUAUCGUAGAGGGAGGUAGAAUUCUAGGUGUAGCGGUGAAAUGCGUAGAUAUCUGGAGGAAUACCUGUGGCGAAAGCGGCCUCCUAAACGAAUACUGACACUGAGGGUGCGAAAGCGUGGGGAGCAAACAGGGAUUAGAUACC
rnacentral:rRNA from 1 species